GACGAACGCUGGCGGCGUGCCUAAUACAUGCAAGUUGAGCGCUGAAGGUUGGUACUUGUACCAACUGGAUGAGCAGCGAACGGGUGAGUAACGCGUGGGGAAUCUGCCUUUGAGCGGGGGACAACAUUUGGAAACGAAUGCUAAUACCGCAUAAAAACUUUAAACACAAGUUUUAAGUUUGAAAGAUGCAAUUGCAUCACUCAAAGAUGAUCCCGCGUUGUAUUAGCUAGUUGGUGAGGUAAAGGCUCACCAAGGCGAUGAUACAUAGCCGACCUGAGAGGGUGAUCGGCCACAGUGGGACUGAGACACGGCCCAAACUCCUACGGGAGGCAGCAGUAGGGAAUCUUCGGCAAUGGACGAAAGGCUGACCGAGCAACGCCGCGUGAGUGAAGAAGGUUUUCGGAUCGUAAAAAUCUGUUGGUAGAGAAGAACGUUGGUGAGAGUGGAAAGCUCAUCAAGUGACGGUAACUACCCAGAAAGGGACGGCUAACUACGUG
rnacentral:rRNA from 1 species